AUAGACCUAGCAGAGAACUAUAACAGGAUCAUUCACAUUGCAGCCCCUGUCAGAUUCUCAGAAUCUUUGAAUCCUGCU
rnacentral:ribozyme from 1 species